rnacentral:lncRNA from 1 species
CUUGUCGUCCCACCCUUUCAUUUUCUCUCUUCUUCCUUAGUUUUUCUCUCAUUUCUUCUUCACUGUGUCGCCUUAACCCUAAUUAUUUUGCAACCUUGUACCACCCAUUCUUUUUUCCUAUACCAUUGUUGUUGUCACCCCUCUGCUGCCAUUUUUUUCUUCUCCAUUAUCGCUGUCCUAGUGAUCAAACACCACCUUUGUCGUUGCCAUCCCUUUGCUUCUUUUCUUCUACUCUCUUUGUUAUUCUAUUAUCGUAGAUCUAAGUCGAAAACUGUAAGUUUUCUAGAUCUGAUCUACUUUCUUUUUUUUUUCUUUUUUUUUCCUAUGAUGGUCGAAUUUUUCGAGUGCUAACUUUGUGAAUUUUCCUUGUCAAUGGUCCUGAUCUGAACUCCUAAAAUCUCCAAUGAAGUUUAGGGCUGUGUGCAUCUUUCGUUUGAUCGAUAGAGGAGUAAGUGAUCACGGAAACUCAGUUCUGAAAUUUUAGUUUGUUUCUUGAUUUGGCUGAACCCUAUAUGGGUGUUGAAGGUUAGUUAUAACCG